GUGGUAACUCGAACGCGUUCAGAAAAAAUUCAGGUUUGUUAAUGAAAUGAAGAUCAAUGUAGAUUCCUAUUUGUCGAAGGUGAUAGUGUGAUCGUCCUCCACCGAAGUUACCUCCAGCACUCACUAUUGCUGCUGCUUUAUCACCCCAAACAUUUGGAGGUCGAGAUGCCCAAUCAAUUGCAUUUUUUAAGGGUCCUAAUUUUGAUUAAUUACAAAGUAAGAUUUUCAGAAAGAAUAAUCAAGUCUAAAUUAGCUUCAAAAUAAUUAAGUGGAGAAUCAAUUGAUUGGGCAUUGUAAAAGAGUGGAAU
rnacentral:lncRNA from 1 species